rnacentral:rRNA from 1 species
ACGUUAUAGGUGGGCACUCUAAGGAGACUGCCGGUGACAAACCGGAGGAAGGUGGGGAUGACGUCAAGUCAUCAUGGCCCUUACGGCCUGGGCUACACACGUGCUACAAUGGUCGGUACAAAGGGUUGCCAAGCCGCGAGGUGGAGCUAAUCCCAUAAAACCGAUCGUAGUCCGGAUCGCAGUCUGCAACUCGACUGCGUGAAGUCGGAAUCGCUAGUAAUCGUGAAUCAGAAUGUCACGGUGAAUACGUUCCCGGGCCUU